GUGCUCAAUUCAGCAGCACAUAUAUUAAAACUGAAACAAUACAAAGAAAAUUACCAUGCACCCUGUAUAAUGAUGAUAUUAAAAAAAUUUUUUUGGAAACAAGAUUU
ensembl:snRNA U6 U6 spliceosomal RNA